rnacentral:tRNA from 1 species
GGGGCCUUAGCUCAGCUGGGAGAGCGCCUGCUUUGCACGCAGGAGGUCAGCAGUUCGAUCCCGCUAGGCUCCA